rnacentral:rRNA from 1 species
AUACGGAGGGGACUAGCGUUGUUCGGAAUUACUGGGCGUAAAGAGUUCGUAGGCGGACUGAUAAGUAAGAGGUGAAAUCCCAGGGCUCAACCCUGGAACUGCCUUUUAAACUGUCAGUCUAGAGACCGGAAGAGGUUAGGGGAAUACCUAGUGUAGAGGUGAAAUUCGUAGAUAUUAGGUGGAACACCAGUGGCGAAGGCGCCUAGCUGGUCCGGUACUGACGCUGAGGAACGAAAGCGUGGGGAGCAAACAGGAUUAGAUACCCUAGUAGUCC